CCCACUUAAAACCUCAGCACACACAAGCACAUAGAUUCCAGAUCUGCUAGUCGAGCUACGAAGUGCCUUGUAAACAUGUAAUAUAAUAGAAAAUUAUCCGGUAACAUCUAACCAGGGGUCUCCAACAGGUGGAUGAGAUGAUCCUGUAACAUCUAACCGGGGGUCUCCAACAGGUGGAUGAGAUGAUCCUGUAACAUCUAACCAGGGGUCUCCAACAGGUCGAUGAGAUGAUCCUGUAACAUCUAACCAGGAGUCUCCAACAGGUCGAUGAAAUGAUCCUGUAACAUCUAACCAGGGGUCUCCAACAGGUCGAUGAGAUGAUCCUGUAACAUCUAACCAGGGGUCUCCAACAGGUGGAUGAGAUGAUCCUGUAACAUCUAACCAGGGGUCUCCAACAGGUCGAUGAGAUGAUCCUGUAACAUCUAACCAGGGGUCUCCAACAGGUCGAUGAAAUGAUCCUGUAACAUCUAACCAGGAGUCUCCAACAGGUCGAUGAGAUGAUCCUGUAACAUCUAACCAGGAGUCUCCAACAGGUCGAUGAAAUGAUCCUGUAACAUCUAACCAGGGGUCUCCAACAGGUCGAUGAAAUGAUCCUGUAACAUCUAACCAGGGGUCUCCAACAGGUCGAUGAGAUGAUCCUGUAACAUCUAACCAGGGGUCUCCAACAGGUCGAUGAAAUGAUCCUGUAACAUCUAACCAGGAGUCUCCAACAGGUCGAUGGAAUGAUCCUGUAACAU